UUUGCAUUAACAAAAACUGCCCCACAUUUCUAUUUUCUAAAUAUCCCACCAUUACACACUUAUUACAUUUUCCUUUUUAAAAUUUAUAAGGCCUAUGAUUAUCUAUAACUAUAGAUAGAGGUAAUACCCUUCACAUAUUAUAAUUAUUCCCAAAAUAAUAAGUAAAAAUAAUUCAAAAUAUAAUUGCACAUAAUAAUUUUCUCUAACUCCUAUAACUCUUUUAGUUUGAACUAACAAAAAUUAUUCCACUUUUCUAUUUUCUAA
rnacentral:lncRNA from 1 species